GAAGAGGUAGCUCAGGUGGUAGAGCAAAGCGCUGAACACGCUUGUGUCACUGGUUCAACUCCAUGUCCUUUUCA
rnacentral:tRNA from 1 species